rnacentral:rRNA from 1 species
UAGUCCACGCCCUAAACGAUGCUUACUCGACGUGUGGCGCUUGUUCGUCGCGCGUCCUAGGGAAACCGGUAAGUAAGCCACCUGGGGAGUACGGUUCGCAAGAAUGAAAACUCAAAGGAAUUGACGGGGGUCCGGCACAAGCGGUGGAGCAUGUGGUUUAAUUCGAUGAUACGCGAGGAACCUUACCUAGGCUCGAACACUAUCGGACAACCUGUAGAAAUCAGGUCUUCCUUCGGGACUGAUAGUGAGGUGCUGCAUGGUUGUCGUCAGCUCGUGCCGUGAGGUGUUGGGUUAAGUCCCGCAACGAGCGCAACCCUUAUUCUCAGUUGCCAGCAUGUUAUGAUGGGGACUCUGGGAAGACUGCCGGCGUAAGCCGUGAGGAAGGUGGGGACGACGUCAAAUCAUCAUGGCCUUUAUGCCUAGGGCUACACACGUGCUACAAUGGUCGGUACAACGGGUCGCGUAACCUGCAAACGGGGUGCCGAAUCUCGUAAAGCCGAAUCUCAGUUCGGA